CAGUAGCGCGGGAACACAGAGGGUGCGAGCGUUAAUCGGAUUUACUGGGCGUAAAGCGUGCGUAGGCGGCUUUUUAAGUCGGAUGUGAAAUCCCUGAGCUUAACUUAGGAAUUGCAUUCGAUACUGGGAAGCUAGAGUAUGGGAGAGGAUGGUAGAAUUCCAGGUGUAGCGGUGAAAUGCGUAGAGAUCUGGAGGAAUACCGAUGGCGAAGGCAGCCAUCUGGCCUAAUACUGACGCUGAGGUACGAAAGCAUGGGGAGCAAACAGGAUUAGAUACCCCUGUAGUCCCUGUCUCUUAUACA
rnacentral:rRNA from 1 species